UGAAUUUUUUUAUUACUUUUCUGAGGCAUAAUGGUAGAAAAUGCAUUCAAUGUGUGAGGCAAGGCAAUCUCAUUGUUGACCUGUGACAGGUCGUCAGCCUGUGCAAUAAUAAAACCUGCUCAAACUAAAAGUAAUUUCUGUAGAUAGCAGUAAGCAGGGUCGAAUCCACAGGGACUGGGAGUAAUUGUUCGUUUCCAAAUUCACAGUAACGAAGGGGGUG
rnacentral:lncRNA from 1 species